AACGCACAUUGCGCCCCCUGGUAUUCCGGGGGGCAUGCCUGUCCGAGCGUCAUUGCUGCCCUCAAGCACGGCUUGUGUGUUGGGCCCUCGUCCCCCGGGACGGGCCCGAAAGGCAGCGGCGGCACCGCGUCCGGUCCUCGAGCGUAUGGGGCUUCGUCACCCGCUCUGUAGGCCCGGCCGGCGCCUGCCGACACCAUCAAUCUUUUUUUCCAGGUUGACCUCGGAUCAGGUAGGGAUACCCGCUGAACUUAA
rnacentral:misc_RNA from 1 species